rnacentral:rRNA from 1 species
AUUGAACGCUGGCGGCAGGCUUAACACAUGCAAGUCGAACGAGUGGCGGACGGGUGAGUAAUGCAUGGGAAUCUGGCUUAUAGAGGGGGAUAACUACUGGAAACUGUAGCUAAUACCGCGUACCAUUGGAUGGGCCCAAGUGGGAUUAGGUAGUUGGUGGGGUAAAGGCUCACCAAGGCGACGAUCCCUAGCUGGUCUGAGAGGACGACCAGCCACACUGGGACUGAGACACGGCCCAGACUCCUACGGGAGGCAGCAGUGGGGAAUAUUGCGCAAUGGGGGCAACCUGAUGCAGCCAUGCCGCGUGAAUGAAGAAGGCCUUCGGGUUGUAAAGUUCUUUCGGUAGAGAGGCGUUAACUACAGAAGAAGCACCGGCUAACUCCGUGCCAGCAGCCGCGGUAAUUC